AGAGUUUGAUCCUGGCUCAGGACGAACGCUGGCGGCGUGCCUAAUACAUGCAAGUAGAACGCUGAAGAGAGGAGCUUGCUCUUCUUGGAUGAGUUGCGAACGGGUGAGUAACGCGUAGGUAACCUGCCUUGUAGCGGGGGAUAACUAUUGGAAACGAUAGCUAAUACCGCAUAACAAUGGAUGACACAUGUCAUUUAUUUGAAAGGGGCAAUUGCUCCACUACAAGAUGGACCUGCGUUGUAUUAGCUAGUAGGUGAGGUAAUGGCUCACCUAGGCGACGAUACAUAGCCGACCUGAGAGGGUGAUCGGCCACACUGGGACUGAGACACGGCCCAGACUCCUACGGGAGGCAGCAGUAGGGAAUCUUCGGCAAUGGGGGCAACCCUGACCGAGCAACGCCGCGUGAGUGAAGAAGGUUUUCGGAUCGUAAAGCUCUGUUGUAAGUCAAGAACGGGUGUGAGAGUGGAAAGUUCGCACUGUGACGGUAGCUUACCAGAAAGGGACGGCUAACUACGUGCCAGCAGCCGCGGUAAUACGUAGGUCCCGAGCGUUGUCCGGAUUUAUUGGGCGUAAAGCGAGCGCAGGCGGUUUGAUAAGUCUGAAGUUAAAGGCUGUGGCUCAACCAUAGUUCGCUUUGGAAACUGUCAAACUUGAGUGCAGAAGGGGAGAGUGGAAUUCCAUGUGUAGCGGUGAAAUGCGUAGAUAUAUGGAGGAACACCGGUGGCGAAAGCGGCUCUCUGGUCUGUAACUGACGCUGAGGCUCGAAAGCGUGGGGAGCGAACAGGAUUAGAUACCCUGGUAGUCCACGCCGUAAACGAUGAGUGCUAGGUGUUGGAUCCUUUCCGGGAUUCAGUGCCGCAGCUAACGCAUUAAGCACUCCGCCUGGGGAGUACGACCGCAAGGUUGAAACUCAAAGGAAUUGACGGGGGCCCGCACAAGCGGUGGAGCAUGUGGUUUAAUUCGAAGCAACGCGAAGAACCUUACCAGGUCUUGACAUCCCGAUGCUAUUUCUAGAGAUAGAAAGUUACUUCGGUACAUCGGUGACAGGUGGUGCAUGGUUGUCGUCAGCUCGUGUCGUGAGAUGUUGGGUUAAGUCCCGCAACGAGCGCAACCCCUAUUGUUAGUUGCCAUCAUUCAGUUGGGCACUCUAGCGAGACUGCCGGUAAUAAACCGGAGGAAGGUGGGGAUGACGUCAAAUCAUCAUGCCCCUUAUGACCUGGGCUACACACGUGCUACAAUGGUUGGUACAACGAGUUGCGAGUCGGUGACGGCGAGCUAAUCUCUUAAAGCCAAUCUCAGUUCGGAUCGUAGGCUGCAACUCGCCUACAUGAAGUCGGAAUCGCUAGUAAUCGCGGAUCAGCACGCCGCGGUGAAUACGUUCCCGGGCCUUGUACACACCGCCCGUCACACCGCGAGAGUUUGUAACACCCGAAGUCGGUGAGGUAACCUUUUGGAGCCAGCCGCCUAAGGUGGGACAGAUGAUUGGGGUGAAGUCGUAACAAGGUA
rnacentral:rRNA from 1 species